AUUGGAUAUUUCGCUCAUGUUUUGCAAAAGGACUGCAUAUAAACUGACAAAGCGUAGGGGUAGUUUUAUUUACAGCAGGGGUGAGGGUGGAGCACCAACUUCCACUAUUCCUCGCACCUCCAUUGAGCUGCUUAGCUCUCUUGCAGUUCGUCAUCAGCCACCAGUCUGCUGUCGUUUUUUUUACAGUUUCCGUUGUUUUUUUUAUUUUUUAGUUUUUUUAGUUUCCUUAUCUUUUUAGUUCCUGCGUUUCGUUUUUAGUUGCGGUUUUCUUUCGUGUGCGCGGCGCGUCGGUUCGAGUGCGGGAACGGAAAAAAUCUUACCAUCGAGUUUGCUCAAUGCUUUAUACCUGCUCGCGAUAUGGUGUUGCCUCCGUCACAAAGUGCAAUAGCAUCAACUCAUUCAGUUACCAACGGUGCAAUUCCCAAAGUUCCAGAAACGAAUUUUUCAGUAGAGACUUUCAGGAGUGUGGACAAUAGCUCAAGAAUAGAGGUUGUCAAAUGGAUAGUGUGUUGAUCAGUUCAGUCAUAUCAUAAACAUACCGUGCAAUUCAUCCCUUCGUAGAUAAACCGAUCAAGGUGGACACUUAAGUGCUAUUUUGACUUCGAUGUAGUCAGUCUUCACGCUAUGACUGGCCCAGGACAGAUGUAACUCAAGAUUCGAACUCAGUGAAACCAAAAAAAAA